UAGAAUACCAAACAAUAAAUGGCCACUUCAAGCUCUAUAAUAACUUUGUAUUAUAGCAAAACUGAUGGUGCAAAGAACAGUCUGCAUCUACACUCAUAAGUGUGAGUGUAUCUUAACUGCAUCAAUUUGUAAAAAUUGUUACAGUUGAAAGACAAAAGCUCAAAGAUGUCAGUCAAGCAGCAUGAACUCUCAUUUCUUGUGCUGACUUACUUUUAUCCAUGUUCUUUAUCCUCCCC